rnacentral:rRNA from 1 species
AUUGAACGCUGGCGGAAUGCUUUACACAUGCAAGUCGAACGGCAGCACGGGGCAACCUGGUGGCGAGUGGCGAACGGGUGAGUAAUACAUCGGAACGUGCCCAAUCGUGGGGGAUAACGUAGCGAAAGUUACGCUAAUACCGCAUACGAUCUACGGAUGAAAGCGGGGGAUCGCAAGACCUCGCGCGAGUGGAGCGGCCGAUGUCAGAUUAGGUAGUUGGUGGGGUAAAGGCUCACCAAGCCAACGAUCUGUAACUGGUCUGAGAGGACGACCAGCCACACUGGAACUGAGACACGGUCCAGACUCCUACGGGAGGCAGCAGUGGGGAAUUUUGGACAAUGGGCGCAAGCCUGAUCCAGCCAUUCCGCGUGCAGGAUGAAGGCCUCGGUUGGUAACGUUA